rfam:Dipodomys ordii contig_66291, whole genome shotgun sequence.
GGGAAGGUGGCUCAGUGGUAGAGCGCUUGUCUUGCAUGCAUGAAGCCAUGGGUUCGAUUCCUCAGCAUCACA